UACGUAGGGUGCAAGCGUUAAUCGGAAUUACUGGGCGUAAAGCGUGCGCAGGCGGUUUGUAAGUUUGUCGUGAAAUCCCCGGGCUCAACCUGGGAAUGGCGAUGAAGACUGCAAGGCUAGAGUCUGGCAGAGGGGGGGUAGAAUUCCGACGUGUGAGCAGUGAAAUGCGUAGAGAUGUGGAGGAACACCGAUGGCGAAGGGCAGCCCCUGGGCAAGACU
rnacentral:rRNA from 1 species